UGGACCAAAAUCUGUGCUUGCUAAAACAGAGC
rnacentral:piRNA from 1 species